CCUACGGGAGGCUGCAGUGGGGAAUAUUGGACAAUGGGGGCAACCCUGAUCCAGCCAUGCCGCGUGUGUGAAGAAGGCCCUCGGGUUGUAAAGCACUUUCAGUGAGGAAGAACGCCUGGUGGUUAAUACCCAUCAGGAAAGACAUCACUCACAGAAGAAGCACCGGCUAACUCCGUGCCAGCAGCCGCGGUAAUACGGAGGGUGCGAGCGUUAAUCGGAAUUACUGGGCGUAAAGCGCGCGUAGGUGGCUUGAUAAGCCGGUUGUGAAAGCCCCGGGCUCAACCUGGGAACGGCAUCCGGAACUGUCAAGCUAGAGUGCAGGAGAGGAAGGUAGAAUUCCCGGUGUAGCGGUGAAAUGCGUAGAGAUCGGGAGGAAUACCAGUGGCGAAGGCGGCCUUCUGGACUGACACUGACACUGAGGUGCGAAAGCGUGGGUAGCAAACAGGAUUAGCUACCCUAGUAGUC
rnacentral:rRNA from 1 species